CUCAGAUGCCAUCAACCUCUGCCCCAUAGGAUUCCAGAACCCCAGGUUCUGAAUGUCAGAUUCUAGGUGCUGGAUCCCCAGAUGGCCCCUGCACCUGGAUUCUAGAACCCUCUGGCCAGAGCCUAAGGAAAUGGGCUUGUUUCCUCAGCUAACUGUGAGAAAGAAUUUUCUGGCUGUUCAGGGUCACCCCAGAUGAACAUGGACAAGCCAGCGUGAUGGACACUGACCUGGGGAGAGAUGGCACCUGACUCAGCUCGGGAGUAGGGGUUGACAAAGGCAGCUGGAGUAGGGAAAGGUAGCCAGGCCGGGACAACUGCCUGGGAAAAGCUCGGAGGAUUGGGACACACUGUUUCCAUGAGGUUGGAGCAUCGGUCUGAGGGAGUCUGAUGGGCACUGAGGUCAAGGGUGGGUGUUGAACUGAACUCAGUUCUUUGCUGAACUGGAAUUGGACCCCGGUUCCCUUCCCAGGCCAGGCCUCUCCCCCUCACAGCUACCCCCACCAAGGCUUUCCCCAAAACAGGGGGAUCCUCUCCGGGGAGGGCCAGGCCAGCAAAUAGGAAUCUCAAGGCAUAAAAGGGGGUUAAAUCUUGGACCCAGGGGGCCCAGCUCAGUUUGCCACAGAGUGGCCACCCUCUGGGAUAUUCUUGUGCCCACAACGUGCACUUUCUGCCCACACAGGUCCCUGGGGAGUGACAGGACUCUCAGAUCUGUUGGGAGCAAAGUUCUUGUAGAGUCCCAUCUGGGCUCUGGGGACCCUCAGAUCACUCUGCCAUUUUGUCUCGACUUCAGCCCAGCACCUGCGCCAAUCCAGCUUCGGCCACCAUCUCCAUCCCUGUGGAGGGGGAACUUGGUCCCCCUCACCCUGCAGGCUGGCGCCAAGGUUUAUGAGCCAGCCUCUGAGAGCCACAUGGGUGGAAAAAGUUACCCGGUUCUAAAUCAGCCAGCCUUUGGGUGAUCUCAUCCCCUUCCCAAUAUAGUCGCAGUCCCCUCCCCCACUGGCUGGACCCUGGCCAAUGGGGUAAGUCACGAGGGAGCUGGUGGAGGGGUGUGUGUGAGGGCUGGGGAAGGAUUUGAACUUGGGGUCACACUAUACAUUCUGUUUUAUAAUCUGAUCUCCCACCCCUCCCCCUCAUUUACUGUAUUUACACUUAGCAGUUUCCUG
rnacentral:lncRNA from 1 species